GACGAACGCUGGCGGCGUGCCUAAUACAUGCAAGUCGAGCGAACAGACGUGGUGCUUGCUCCUAUGUGAAUAGCAGCGGACGGGUGAGUAACACGUGGGUAACCUGCCUUUAAGCCGGGGACAACAUCUGGAAACGAAUGCUAAUACCGCAUAACAACUUUAAACAUAAGUUUCAAGAUUGAAAGAUGCACUUGCAUUCACUAAUGGUGAUCUCCCGUCGGCUUAGCUAGUUGGUUAGGUAAAGGCCCACCCAGGCCAAGGAUGCUAAGCGGACUGGGGAGGGGGACCGCCAAAACUGGACUGGGACAACGCCCAAACCUCUUAGGGGGGGAGCAGUAGGGGAUCUUCGGCAAUGGACGGAAGUCUUGCCGAGCAACGCCGCGGGGGUGAAGAAAGGUCUCGGGACGGAAAACCCCUUUGGUUGGGGAGGACGAAGGGGGGAAUUGAAUGUGCACCUAGUGACGGUAACUACCCAGAAAGCGACGGCUAACUACGUG
rnacentral:rRNA from 1 species